GGGAGGAGAGCAAGGAACGAAUAAAGCUCUUGACAGCGCUCGGGCUGUUUCAAAACACACAGAAUCGAGGACGGAGGCGGCAACAAUUAGCCAGAGUUUGGACAGACUGUGGAACAGGAGGAUUAAAACUUCUGUUGAAGGGUCAUGAGGACUCGAAACAUCAACUUUGUUCUUCUCCGCCGAUGCUGCCAGACCUGCUGAGCUUUUCCAGAUGCUGACUGAAGGUUUUUGGUGACUUUCUGUAUGGUGAACUGGUCACUGGGUCGCAACCUCUUGGACGUCCACGCCUCCAGUACAAGAACAUCUACAAGCGAGAUGUAUGAGGAUGACAGACAUUGACACUGACAACUGGGAGACAGUUGCUGAGGUUGUGGCCUCUGGAGGCUGACUGUCUGGAAGGGCAUUGGAAGAGGUGGGCAAAAACAGAAAGCUCAGCUGUCCAAGAAGAGGGCCCACAGAAAACAGAGGCCAGCGAAUCUUACACCUUCGCAACCCACCAUCUUCCUCUGUAGCAGAUACUGUGGGGUUCCUGAGCCACAACAGGUGGUGCUUAACACAGUUGACCACUACAGUGCAAACCAUUGUCUCACAGGAUGGGAAGGCUUCCAUUUUUGUUAUUGCUGACCAAGCUGCAGUGUAUUA